rnacentral:rRNA from 1 species
AUUGAACGCUGGCGGCAUGCUUUACACAUGCAAGUCGAACGGUAACAGGCCUUCGGGUGCUGACGAGUGGCGAACGGGUGAGUAAUGCAUCGGAACGUACCCAGAGGUGGGGGAUAACGCAGCGAAAGCUGUGCUAAUACCGCAUGUGAUCUGAGGAUGAAAGCGGGGGACCGAGCAGCAAUGUUUGGCCUCGCGCCUUUGGAGGGCCGGAUGUCGGAUUGGUUAGUUGGUGGGGUAAAGGCCUACCAAGGCGACGAUCCGUAGCUGGUCUGAGAGGACGACCAGCCACACUGGGACUGAGACACGGCCCAGACUCCUACGGGAGGCAGCAGUGGGGAAUUUUGGACAAUGGGCGCAAGCCUGAUCCAGCAAUGCCGCGUGCGGGAAGAAGGCCUUCGGGUUGUAAACCGCUUUUGGCAGGAACGAAACGGUGUCCGCUAAUACCGGGCGCUAAUGACGUUACCUGCAGAAUAAGCACCGGCUAACUACGUG